GACGAAGGGGGCGAGCGUUGUUCGGAAUCACUGGGCGUAAAGGGCGCGUAGGCGGCGCAGUCAGUCAGGCGUGAAAGCCCCGAGCUCAACUUGGGAAAUGCGCUUGAUACUAUUGUGCUAGAGAGCGGGAGAGGAUGGUGGAAUUCCCAGUGUAGAGGUGAAAUUCGUAGAUAUUGGGAAGAACACCGGUGGCGAAGGCGGCUAUCUGGACCGACAUUGACGCUGAGGCGCGAAAGCGUGGGGAGCAAACAGG
rnacentral:rRNA from 1 species